AACGAACGCUGGCGGCAGGCUUAACACAUGCAAGUCGAGCGCCCCGCAAGGGGAGCGGCAGACGGGUGAGUAACGCGUGGGAAUCUACCCAUCUCUACGGAAUAACGCAUGGAAACGUGUGCUAAUACCGUAUACGUCCUUCGGGAGAAAGAUUUAUCGGAGAUGGAUGAGCCCGCGUUGGAUUAGCUAGUUGGUGGGGUAAAGGCCUACCAAGGCGACGAUCCAUAGCUGGUCUGAGAGGAUGAUCAGCCACACUGGGGCUGAGACACGGCCCAGACUCCUACGGGAGGCAGCAGUGGGGAAUAUUGGACAAUGGGAGCAAGCCUGAUCCAGCCAUGCCGCGUGAGUGAUGAAGGCCCUAGGGUUGUAAAGCUCUUUCACCGGUGAAGAUAAUGACGGUAACCGGAGAAGAAGCCCCGGCUAACUUCGUGCCAGCCGCCGCUGUAAUAC
rnacentral:rRNA from 1 species